CAAUCAUUAUACAUAAACAAAAAAUAUGCAAAUAUAUAAACUUUUUUUUCUAUUUUGAAAAGUUUAUAAACUUGCUGUAUAUUCAAUAAAAUACAGAUUUAAUUUUACAUAAAAUAGUUUUCAAUGGUUAUUUUUUAUAUGUGGUGUAUGCUUUUUAUCCAACAAUAUUACUGAGAAACAAAAAUGUAACAAAUCUUAUUGCAACAUCUUAAGCCUUUAAGAAAACUAUUCGGGGCCUGACAGCAGUAUUUACAUUUGAAUGAAAAUUAAUUUUUAUAACAAGAAGUGUAAUGUAAAGAGAGACUUACUCAAAUCAUUUACAUGGAAAAAAAUGCUGUAACUGUGGUCAUGCAUAUUACUAUUAAUACAAUAAAGUGAAUCUAAACAAUUAUUAGGUCAAAAGCAGACCAAACUACUUCUCAUUUCAUUCAAUACCAACAUAAAUAUUACCCCAAAAUAUUUUUUUCCCUUAAAACAAAGAGCACUUCAGAAAACAUUUUUACACCAGAAAGCCUUUAUGACAUCCCAUUCUACAGCCAAUCAUGCACACACACACAAUUUAAAUGAUGAUUUUUUUUUGCAUAUAGUUGAAACAGACAAAAUUUAUGUACAAAAAGGCAGUGUUAUAAAAUAGAAAUAUUGACAACAAAUUAAAAGCAGUUGAACUCAUCAUGCUUAAAUUAUACCAGACUAUGAAAAAAGUUAAUUUUUAUUGUAGAGCAAUAAUAUAUUUAUAUGUAACAAACCAAAAACCUAAUAUAUUCAUGUUUUGAAAACAGAAUGAUUCAAAGAACAUUAUCUCCAGUCCUUGGAUCAUUAGUUGUUUUCUUUGCUACACACUGUAAGUGGUAUUACAUGAUCAUUGGCAGUAAUUACUAAUAUUCCUAACUCUAAAUCAUAGAAAAGUACUGUCACAACGUUUCAGUCUUUGUUUUUUUUUAUAAUGCAAUGAUAAGCUAUUAUCAUGAAGAUCUGGAAGAUAUACUUAAUGCCCUUGACUAAAAAAAAAAACACACUUAUUUGGCAUAAAAUAAUUAAAAAAAAAAAUCAUAUUGCUACACAUGUUGUUAUUUUCCCCUAUAACCCACAAUUACACACACUUUCCUAGAACCCUGGAUGCACCCCUUCAAAUAUACAAUAAAUAUUGUUUUUCACUCUUACAAUUGGAGAUAUGAAACUUUCAAACAUACAAUAUACUAUCUACUGACUUCAUUGACUUGGAUACAAGUGAAAAAAUCAUCAUUGUUUAUAAAUGACUAUACAAUGUACUGACUUUGUUUUAAAUAUGAGGCAAUUUUUAUUGUCAAGUCUAUAUGCAGUGUGCUCAAUUAAGAAGUGUGAGGGUAAAAAAGAUAUUCAGAUAACACUAAAUAAAUGAUCUAUUUGUCACUAUAAUGAUAAUAAU
rnacentral:lncRNA from 1 species